GACGAACGCUGGCGGCGUGCUUAACACAUGCAAGUCGAACGGAAAGGCCCUGCUUUUGUGGGGUGCUCGAGUGGCGAACGGGUGAGUAACACGUGAGUAACCUGCCCUUGACUUUGGGAUAACUUAGGGAAACUGGGGCUAUAACCGGAUAGGAGCUCCUGCUGCAUGGUGGGGGUUGGAAAGUUUCGGCGGUUGGGGAUGGACUCGCGGCUUAUCAGCUUGUUGGUGGGGUAGUGGCUUACCAAGGCUUUGACGGGUAGCCGGCCUGAGAGGGUGACCGGCCACAUUGGGACUGAGAUACGGCCCAGACUCCUACGGGAGGCAGCAGUGGGGAAUAUUGCACAAUGGGCGGAAGCCUGAUGCAGCAACGCCGCGUGCGGGAUGACGGCCUUCGGGUUGUAAACCGCUUUCGCCUGUGACGAAGCGUGAGUGACGGUAAUGGGUAAAGAAGCACCGGCUAACUACGUG
rnacentral:rRNA from 1 species